AGCAGUCGCCACGGUAAUACGAAGGGUGCAAGCGUUAAUCGGAAUUACUGGGCGUAAAGCGCGCGUAGGUGGUUUGUUAAGUUGGAUGUGAAAUCCCCGGGCUCAACCUGGGAACUGCAUUCAAAACUGACUGACUAGAGUAUGGUAGAGGGUGGUGGAAUUUCCUGUGUAGCGGUGAAAUGCGUAGAUAUAGGAAGGAACACCAGUGGCGAAGGCGACCACCUGGACUAAUACUGACACUGAGGUGCGAAAGCGUGGGGAGCAAACAGGAUUAGAUACCCCCGUAGUCCCUGUCUCUUAUAC
rnacentral:rRNA from 1 species